AGAUUAAAANUCAAGGAAUUGACGGGGGCNUNCACAANCGNUGGAGCAUUUGUUUUAAUUCGAAGCAANGCGCAGAACCUUACCAGCGUUUGACAUCCUAAUCGCGGUUUUCAGAGAUGAUUACCUUCAGUUCGGCUGGAUUAGUGACAGUGCUGCAUGGCUGUCGUCAGCUCGUGUCGUGAGAUGUUGGGUUAAGUCCCGCAACGAGCGCAACCCUCGUCCUUAGUUGCCAUCAUUCAGUUGGGCACUCUAAGGAAACUGCCGGUGAUAAGCCGGAGGAAGGUGGGGAUGACGUCAAGUCCUCAUGGCCCUUACACGCUGGGCUACACACGUGCUACAAUGGCGGUGACAGUGGGCAGCAACCGGGCGACCGGUAGCUAAUCUCCAAAAACCGUCUCAGUUCGGAUUGUUCUCUGCAACUCGAGAGCAUGAAGGCGGAAUCGCUAGUAAUCGCGGAUCAGCAUGCCGCGGUGAAUACGUUCCCAGGCCUUGUACACACCGCCCGUCACACCAUGGGAUUUGGAUUCACCCGAAGGCAGUGCGCUAACCGCAAGGAGGCAGCUGACCACGGUGGGUUUAGAGACUGGGGUGAAGUCGUAACAAGGUAACCGUA
rnacentral:rRNA from 1 species